rnacentral:rRNA from 1 species
AGAGUUUGAUCAUGGCUCAGAUUGAACGCUGGCGGCAUGCCUUACACAUGCAAGUCGAACGGUAACGCGGGGGCAACCCUGGCGACGAGUGGCGAACGGGUGAGUAGCGCAUCGGAACGUGCCCAGUAGUGGGGGAUAGCUCGGCGAAAGCCGGAUUAAUACCGCAUACGACCUACGGGUGAAAGCGGGGGACCGCAAGGCCUCGCGCUAUUGGAGCGGCCGAUGCCCGAUUAGCUAGUUGGUGAGGUAAAGGCUCACCAAGGCAACGAUCGGUAGCUGGUCUGAGAGGACGACCAGCCACACUGGGACUGAGACACGGCCCAGACUCCUACGGGAGGCAGCAGUGGGGAAUUUUGGACAAUGGGGGAAACCCUGAUCCAGCCAUGCCGCGUGCGGGAAGAAGGCCUUCGGGUUGUAAACCGCUUUUGGCAGGAACGAAACGGCGCGCGCCAAUACCGCGCGUUAAUGACGGUACCUGCAGAAUAAGCACCGGCUAACUACGUGCCAGCAGCCGCGGUAAUACGUAGGGUGCAAGCGUUAAUCGGAAUUACUGGGCGUAAAGCGUACGCAGGCGGCUGUGCAAGACAGGUGUGAAAUCCCCGGGCUUAACCUGGGAACUGCAUUUGUGACUGCAUGGCUAGAGUCCGUAAGAGGGGGGUGGAAUUCCACGUGUAGCAGUGAAAUGCGUAGAGAUGUGGAGGAACACCGAUGGCGAAGGC